GAGGGGCCUUGGUCGUGAACUGCAAGCUGUAAGAUCUCUCAGCAAGCAGCAAUGUGAAGAAAUGGCCCAACAGCUCCGCAGGAUGGAAGAGCAGUACAUCAAGGCUCUCAGACUCUGGCAAUCUGCUCAGGAAGAGGAAAAAAGGAAGCUCCAGGAAAACUUGGAGAGACAGCUGGAACAACAGCGUUUGGAGGCGCAGCAGCAGCUGGAGGAACAGGCAAACCUCGUGGCAGAGCUCCAGCAUCAGAAGGCUGCUGUCUUAACCAGAAUGCACCAGAUGGAGAGAAAGCUAAUCCGAAGCCAGCAGCAAGUCAAGCAGCUGAGGCUGGAGCUGAGUAAGGAGCGGGAGAAUGGGCAGGUGAGCCUGACCAGCCAGGUAGCAGAGGGAAGGGCAGGAAUGGCGCCAUGGACUAUAGAUCUCAGGCGAGGGAAGGCAAGGACUACUGCAGGCACUGGAUGCACAGAGGCAGGUGCUAGUAAGAUUUUUCCUGACACAAUAUCAAGGACAAGCUACAGCAAGCUCAGAGGGAGAUGAAGGCAAUGGAGAAGAGACACAAAGAAGAAAUGGAAAGGAUGCGCAGGAUCCAGCUGCAGUACAGGCUGUGUGAACAAAAGCAGAUGGACACAGGCUCUGCAGCAGCGUCCUCCAAAGAAGGAGUCUCCCCUCUGCAGCCUGAAAACUCGAGCAUGGACAGUUCAUGCUGGUCAAGCCAGGAG